rnacentral:misc_RNA from 1 species
GUGAAUCAUCAAAUUUUUGAACGCAAAUUGCGCCUUUUUCGGAAGGCAUGUCUGUUUGAGGGCACCAUUUAACAAAUAAUUUGCAUUUGUUUUUCCCCGGUUGAUGAGCUUUCCAAAAUUUUGUAUUUUUAUUUUUGGGGGCGCUUAUAAAAAAGCGCGAUUCUUUUUUUCAAUUGUGGGUUAUUA